UCCUCGGUAGCUCAGUUGGUUAGAGCAUCUGACUGUUAAUCAGAGGGUCACUGGUUCAAGUCCAGUCCGGGGAG
rnacentral:tRNA from 1 species